rnacentral:lncRNA from 1 species
CCCGCUCAAGUUCCCCGUCCCCAUUUCUAUUUCCAUUUCCAUUUCGAGCAUGUUUCCGUCAUCAGACCUGUGGUAUAGUGUCAGCAGCACUGCAGGAGAUAAGCAGAGCACGCUGUGGCUGUGCGCGGUUGGUUAACGUUGUUACUCGUCAUGGCUUUACUUACUAGCUGACCUCUGAAUCUGGUGUACCGUUGGUUUCUCGCUUGCGCGGGAUAGUAGCAAUGGAUGUCUGGCUGGUGCAGUCGCCAUGCCGUGGUACUUGGGUCCGUGAUGGCAUCUCUCUCGUGCAUGGCGUCGCCCCUGCCUGCCUACACAUAUGUGUUUGCAUUAAUGGCUACCUUUUACACGUGCCUACUGUUGCGUCGUCCUUCGAUGGCUGCAACCGUGGCGCGGCGCAGCAAGGCAGCAUAGGUAGGGUGUAGACGUGUAGUGUAUCCAUGUCGUACACGCGUGGCUUUGCGUGUAUCCAUGUGGUGCUCUGAACGAGGUUGCAGGACGAUGCUAAUCGACGGGGAGAGAAAACUCAGCUUGCUGUACAUUGCUGGCCAUGGCGUCCUUGUGCAGUAACUUCAUUAUCUUGUUAAUGACGAUGUUCUAGCCACAUGAUUUGGAGAUACCAGUGGAGUGGAGUGGAGACUUCCGGAUGUCUUCGCACUUGUGAAGAAACUCUGGCAAAGUUUGUCGUGCACCCAAGGCCCUCUUCUCGACCUCCUCUCCAGUCUCCAGGGAAAAAAGAGGAAAAACUAAUCACGUGUUCAUGACGUACAGUAGGCGUUACACGGAGGCACAAACACGCACAAGCGGCAGGUUUUCCCGGCAGGAACAAGGGGUCGCACCUGAGGCGAGCGCGACACGUCCCGUGCUUGCAUGGAUUGGACGACCAACAACUCCCGUCAGGACGUAGCGUAGCGAGGAGGGGCGGUUGGAGGAGCAUGUAAUGAGGUAGCACAUCGGGGACAUGACACAGCAGGCGCCCUUUUGGAUUUAUUAUCGCCUUUUUUCUGUUCCCUUUUGGAUCAGUGACAGCGACGGUGACACAGCCGGCCGCUAAUCAUCGUACGUGCGGGUAGCAAUCCAAGUUUGGGCUGCGUUUCGUUGUGCCGAGAUUUGCACAACGGAACGGAGUAGAAGCAGUAGUAACAGCAGGCACCCGCACCCUCAAAAGUCAAAACUGCGUCGGCCACACCCUACCUGGCUAGAUUCGUAGCCUAGCCGUAGCCGCAGCGGAAUCGCUCACUCACACGCACGCACGCUUUGUCGUAGCAUGUAACUCAGGGGAAAAUUCUUGAUUCUCCGGUCCUCGAUGCAUAUAAAUUGUACCUAGAAUUUCUCGAUUCUCUGCUCUUACUCCCUCAGUUCCGAGUUUUAGUUCAAAUUUGAACUAAAACCAUGACGAGUAAAUCGGAACUGAGGGAGUACAUGCAUAUAAAUUCGAAAGAAUGGUCGGUGACCAUUGUACCACUACCAUUUUUCUUCCCAACUCCCAAGUUUUCAACAGAUUCCAACUCCCCGUAUGUGAGCGAGCGAUCCCCACCAAGGACUGUACUACAUCACUGUUAGGAGCACACCGUUUUACUCCCCGCCAACAAUAAAGGAGCACAUUGUUUUACUGUUAGGGAGAAGCCGACGCAAGGCGUAGCUCUAGGGAGGGGCCUCAGCCUGCUACUGUUCACUCACCGGUUUGGCAGGCCGCAAUCCGAGCCAUGGUUUCUUCUUGGCGCCAACCAGGCAGCCGUCUGUAGAGGGGGAGAGAGGUACAAUUUUUCUAAAUGACCUUUAGGGCCUCAAGAGGCCCGCAUCAGUUCGGACCUAAUUGUCCGGGCCCAUUAUGCCAUCCAACAUGAUACUCAGUCGGUCCACAGAGCGGUCCGAACAUUUGGGGUGGGGGCUUUGCGGGAGUCUGGAUCGUCGCCAUGUAGGACUCCAACACCUCCGGCCCACUCAAACCCACCUCCCGGUCCAUUCUCUUCCACUUCGCCCUUGUCCCCCUUACUUUGCAUCCGCACCCUCAUCCUCCGAUGCAUCCGCUCUACCUCUUCGACCAACGCCCAGGCAUUGUCGGACGUCCAGCCCCCACCCACACGCCCGCUUGCCUUGUACUACGUCGCCGUCCACCCAGGAUCCGUCCGCAGCUAGGUACACUCCGCCCCCUAUUGACGCCGUCCAUGGCCGACACCACGCCCGGUCAAAUGCCAUUGAGCUUAUUUUUGAACCUCAUGUCAUUUUUUAUAGCAAGAAGGAUGACGGGGUACUCGGUGUGCANNNNNNNNNNNNNNNNNNNNNNNNNNNNNNNNNNNNNNNNNNNNNNNNNNNNNNNNNNNNNNNNNNNNNNNNNNNNNNNNNNNNNNNNNNNNNNNNNNNNNNNNNNNNNNNNNNNNNNNNNNNNNNNNNNNNNNNNNNNNNNNNNNNNNNNNNNNNNNNNNNNNNNNNNNNNNNNNNNNNNNNNNNNNNNNNNNNNNNNNNNNNNNNNNNNNNNNNNNNNNNNNNNNNNNNNNNNNNNNNNNNNNNNNNNNNNNNNNNNNNNNNNNNNNNNNNNNNNNNNNNNNNNNNNNNNNNNNNNNNNNNNNNNNNNNNNNNNNNNNNNNNNNNNNNNNNNNNNNNNNNNNNNNNNNNNNNNNNNNNNNNNNNNNNNNNNNNNNNNNNNNNNNNNNNNNNNNNNNNNNNNNNNNUCAUGCGCGAAAGCACAUUGCGCCUUAUGACAUGCACAUCAUCCAUGAACGCAAUGUCAAGUCGCUAGUGUAUCGAUGGUAUACCAUCCAGAACUCCAUCAUGAAGUUUUGUGGCGCGAUUAAUCGGCUGGAGGCAAUGUGGCCAUUGUGCGCGGUAACCAUGGAGACCGUAAGUGUUGCUUCUUCUUACUCUGCAUGUUAGAUUGAUUCAAUUCAUUCACUCAAUGUUGCUGUAUCCAUUGUAUAGUCUGUACGCGUUGCCGUGAUGUACUGUAUGUUAGAGGGUAGACCAUUCAUGCACAUACAUUGUUGGAUGGGAGCGGGAUCGUCUGGCGUAUUACCACCUGACAUGGGGCCACUGAUGUGUGGGCCCGGGUCCACAUGCCAGUGUGCCAACGGCACGUCAGGGGUGCCGCGUCCUGUUGGAUGAAGCUCAAGGGGUAGUAUGAGUGGGACAACAUGAUCCAUCCAUGAAAAACUUGUUGAACAUAUGGUUGAUCUCGUUGAAUUUGAGCUUUUGUUGUACUAGACAUUUUGCAUGCUAUUUAUGGAUGAUUUGUGCUAUUUUCUAUCUGAUCUUUGAUGAAUUCCAUCGUGUUUGAUGUAAUUCGUCUGGUUAAUUGAAAUCCGUCUUGAAAUGUAUGUGGCUAUGGUUGGAUGGCCACCUCCCCCUGUUCGCGGACGGAUGGUAUCUGGUUUAGGGGUCAGCGUUGGAGAUGCUCUUAAAACUGAAGCGCAUCACUGAUCCUCGGGAUUAUUUAUUUGCGCGUCUGGCCUCUUCUAGUCGUGGCUAAUCGUUGGGCGGAUCACUUACACAUAACAUCAUGAAAUGGUUAGGCGCGUUUGACUUUCUACCUUCCACGGUAACUGGUCUCCUUUCCAACAUGACAUCUGCAGGACGCGCCAUAUCGUUAGUUGUCACGUGCUUGUUGUGCCAAAUAUUUAGUCACGUUAUGGCGCGAGAACAAAUUGACCAACAGUAUGACGCGCACAUGAAAGUGCAACUAAUCCUCGGGUGGUUUUGGUAAUUCAUAACAACAUAUAGCUCAUUGAAUUAAUAUCCAUUCAAGAUAAAUAUUUCAGGAUGUUCAAUGAUUGGCAUGGCAUGAAAGAGAUGUCGACCCCUCAAAAUGCUAAGGACAAAGAUUGGCAAAAGCUCAAGACUCUUCAUUUUUAUUUUAGUGAUCCAGAUCACAUUGUGUCCAUAGGAAAGCCAAUACUAUUAAAAGGGGAUGAGGUGCUGCUUAAUGGUCUACUUGCUCAAAGUGCUUAGUGAUAUUGCUCCAAAACCAUCAGCCACUUUCUCCAUCCAAAUAUGUCAAAACCCUAAACUCCAAUUCCGCCUCACCGAUUCUUUCUAUCAAGAGCCACCGAGUUCAUUUGACAUAGCCGUUGCCAUAAACUCUAACGAUUCGGUCACACAGAUACAGUUCUCGGUCCCACCGAGAUGGCCUUGCCAGCGCUCUAUAAUCUGUUGCAUUCACUUCGGUCUCACCGAGUUGUUGCAAUCGGUCUCACCGAGUUGGCUUGACAGAUUCUCUGUUGCUUAUUGCUUCACUUCGGUCUCACCGAGUUGAUGCAAUCGGCGCCACCGAGAUGAAGUUUUCCCUAAGCCCUAGCACAUCGGUCCCACCGAGUUGUUCCAGUCGGUCCCACUGAGAUUCCUAACGUUCAUAUCUUUGAACAGAUCGGAGCCACCGAGUUUCCUAAUCGGUGCCACCGAGAUGAGUCAAAAGUGUGUAACAGUUGGAUUUUGUGUGGAGGCUAUAUAUACCCCUCCACCCCUUCUUCCUCAUUGAGGAGAGCCAUCAGAACGUGCCUACACUUCCACCAUUUAUUUUCUGAGAGUGAAACAACUACUCAUGUGUUGAGAUCAAGAGAUUCCAUUCCAACCAUUUGAACCUUGAUUUCUAGCCUUCCCCAAGUUGCUUUCCACUCAAAUCCCUCUUCCACCAUAGCAAAAUCUACGAGAGAGAGUUGAGUGUUGGGGAGACUAUCAUUUGAAGCACAAGAGCAAGGAGUUCAUCAUCAACACACCAUCUAUUACCUUUUGGAGAGUGGUGUCUUCUAGAUUGGUUAGUGUCGCUCAGGAGCCUCCGUCGUGAUGUGGAGUUGAACCAAGAAGUUUGUAAGGGCAAGGAGAUCGCCUACUUCAUGAAGAUCUACCCGAGUGAGGCAAGUCCUUCAUGGACGAUGGCCAUGGUGGGAUAGACAAGGUUGCUUCUUCGUGGACCCUUCGUGGGUGGAGCCCUCUGUGGACUCGUGCAACCAUUACCCUUCGUGGGUUGAAGUCUCCAUCAACGUGGGCGUAUGAUAGCACCACCUAUCGGAGCCACGCAAAACAUCUCCGUGUCUCCAUUGCGUUUGCCUCCUCCAAACCCUUCCCUUUACCUUCAUAUGCAAUGUUUUACAUUCCUCUACUAUACUCUUAGAAUUGCAUGUGUAGGUUGAUUGCUUGACUUGUGCUAAUUGCUAAAAUCUGCCUACAACUAAAAUUGGGAAAAUGAUAGAUUUUUAUUUGGUCAAGUAGUCUAAUCACCCCCCUCCAGACAUACUUUGAUCCUACAAGUGGUAUCAGAGCUUUGGUCUCCAUUAGCCUUGAUUUCCAUAGCUUUGGUGAUCAUAGCCUUGGUUUCAUAACCUACGAGAGUAUGGCAUCUAGCAAACACUACAAAAAAAAUACACUUCCAUGAUGAUACGUAUUUGUCACAGUAGGUCACUUUUUUGUCAUGCAUGUACAUCCAUGAUGAUUUUAUGACAGAAUCAAGAUAGUCAUACCUGUGCUGUCGUAGAAGUGUUCCAUGACAUUACCAAAAUUAUCAUCACGGAAGUGUCCACUUCCAUGAUGAUAAAUCGCGCGUCACAAAAGUGCUUUCGUCAAGGGUGACCGACACGUGGCAUCCACCGUAACGGGUCGCCGUUAAGCUAUCGGGUCCGGUUUUGGAUCCGAUAACUCGUUAACAGCCCGGACCAAUGGGAAAUUUCCACGUGUAAAAUUCUGAUUGGCCGGAGGAAACACGUGUCAGCUCGUCAGUGGGUUAGAUAGGCGCCUAUGAUAUGUCGACACGUGUGACGGCCCACCACUGGCCCAUUUAGCUUACAAAGGCCGUCCCGUUUCACUUGGUCAAAAGUUAGCGGGCUGGCCCAUGAAAAGCCUGUUAAUGGUCUCUUCGCAAAUAGCCCAUUUUACGGCCUGGUAACUCACGGCCCGAAAUCGGCCCAACAACGUCAUGUGGACCGUCGAAUAUAACACCAGCCCGUUUCACUUUCGGCCCAUGUAUGGCCCACGACGUCUUUCGGCCCAUAUGAGGCCUUCGUAUCUUUAGGCCCUUUAGGGGCCCACGGUGACUCUAGCCCAUAAUGAACAAUAAAUUUCUUUGUACCCGUUAACGACCCAUGAUUCACAUGGGCCGUUUCCAGCCCGUGUUAGCUUUCGGCCUACUGACGGCCCAUACGUUCUUGGGCUCCUUUCCGGCCCUCGAUUACUUCCGGCCCAUUACUGGCCUGUUCCCCUAAUGGGCCAAAUUCGGCCCGUGGCAAGAGUCGGCCCGUUUCUGGCUUGUUAACCCAUUGCACCGUUUCCAGCCCGUCCUAUAUUCUGGCCAAUUAACGACCCGUUAUGCCUGUGACAGAAUUAAGCCUUUGCUGUCCUCCGGCCUGUUAACGGCCCGUUACCAUGCUGGGCCGAUACCAAUUACGCCCGUUUACGGCCCAUGUAGACCCAUUUAUCCGACGGCCCGAGGCCCACAGAUUCUACGGCCCUGUUGGAGGCCCAUUUAUCGACGGCCCGUAGGAGGCCCAUGGUUCCUACGACCCGUAGUAGGGUCAAGGUUACCACGGUCCGUAUAUGGCCCAUGGUUGUUGCGGCCACUAGCAAACCAGGGAAAAAGAAGACUAGGAAAUAAAUAAGCCCGAAACUAAUGCUAGGCUAUUAAGGCGAUUGCACAGAUUACAUCCACUGGCAUCAAAGAUCGCCACCAGUGCAAAUAUAGGGAACACCCUACACUAUACAAAAAUGGCUUGCUUUUUUCUUUAGCCAGUGGCUGCACGUUAAGAACAAAUUUUGUAUCGCAACAAAACAAAUUACAACUAUAAAACAAAAGGAAGGUUGGCAUAAAAGUUAACAGUCUGGCAGAUAAAUGCACCACCAGAAGUUCAGAAGCUCAGUUCAUUUGACCUGACUGUUAUGUUUUCAUGCUGUAUUGUCCGAUGGAGCACCAUAACCUUCGCCUUCAUUUCUCCUAGGCUCCUGAACAACAUAGCAAAUGUUUGAUAGUCUGGUUUCAAAACCAUGCAUAUCUUGACAACACCGAAAAAUGUCUAUCCUUGUUUCACAAAGGGUCUCUGUUAGGGAAUGGACUUGUGUCUGGAGCACAUAUAUAACAUUGUUUUGAGCUUGCAUAUCUUGAUCAUGAGGCAGUUUGGACGAGAUUGCCUUAACAACCAACCCAGUAUUACACAUGAAUGUGCUUUUGGCACUGUUAGUGGACAGGUACUGACCCACUGCAGCAAGAGCUGACAUUGCAGUUAUAGUUGCCUCGCCACCUUCAGAAGGUGGCGGUUCCACAAUUUUUUCCAUAGCUUCUGAAAAGUUGAGUUUUUACAUUAGUAGUACCAGAACAGAAGAUAUUAAGGAGGCAACAAAACCAAACAAAAUAGCUUUGGUCUAUAUACAGAACUUAUUCUAGUGAACCCAUGUAAAAUAUUUGUUGUAUUUUACUGCAAAGUACAUAAUAAAACCAGGUUGCAAACAUAUGACCAUGUACCAUGGCUAAUGUAUUGUCUAUUUCUUCACAUUAUAUUGACAGCUAAGGAUAAAGACACAAAGUUUAUAAUACGGUAAGCAUAGUAUGACAUCAUUCAUAUCACAAAACAACUGAGAACAGACAAACAGGCAAUUGUAACGUUGUGUGGGCAAGUCCAGCACGGAACUAGAUUACAGGUCAAGAUCAAAGUAACAUCACUCCUCUCUUUUAAACCUUGUAAGGUGCAAUGAUACGCUAAGACAAUUGUGUAUAAAAUUGAAAAGAGUAAUAGACAUUGGCUGCAAACCAUGCAGUUCAAGGCACAAGUCAGAGUAAGUAGUAGUUAAAAGGCAUGAGGAUUAAGGACUUACAUCGGCUUUGACUGGUGUAGUCAUGCCCUUCGUCUUGUUGGUGUGACAGUCCUUGAAGAUUUCCACAACAUUUGGUUCAGGUACUUUUUGGUCCUUGCGGGCUUUCCUCUGCAUUUGGAACAAGUCAAUAUAGAUAUGAUAAUAUGGUACAUCGAAAAGAGUGAAACAGCAGCUAAUUACAAGAGCCUCACAGUGUGCAAUAUAGCUACGAGAUCCUGUCGUCUGUUGGAAUUUCACUUUCGUACGGUUGGCCUUGUUCUUUGAACAGUUCACCUACAAGAAGAUAGAUUUGUGUGGCACAUGCGUAAAUAGGACUUCAACAUGUGAUCUGAUCACAUAUAUAUAUAAUGUACCUGAUACUUCGUAUCAGACCAGUGUUUAACGAGGCCUCUCCAGUCUUCAUCCGAUAUAUUUUCCACUGGAGAUGUUUGGGCAAGUUCACUGUUAGCCUUGCCUUCAAAGUGAGUUUUCCUCAAGUUAUACCGAUACUGUUGAUACAUCUCCGUCGUAUCUACUUUUCCAAACACUUUUGCCCUUGUUUUGGACUCUAACUUGCAUGAUUUGAAUGGAACUAACCCAGACUGACGCUGUUUUCAGCAGAAUUGCCAUAGUGUUAUUUAUGUGCAGAAACAAAAGUUCUCGGAAUGACCUGAAAUUCCACGGAGAUUAUUUUUGGAAAUAAUAAAAAAUACUGGUGGAAGAAUCAAGGCCAGGGGUCCCACACCCUUGCCACGAGGGUGGGGGCGUGCCCCCUGCCUCGUGGCCCCCCUGGAGCUCCACCGACCUCAACUCCAACUCCAUAUAUUCGUGUUCGGGGAGAAAAAAUCAGAGAGAAAGAUUCAUCGCGUUUUACGAUACGGAGCCGCCGCCAAGCCCUAAACUCUCUCGGGAGGGCUGAUCUGGAGUCCGUUCGGGGCUCCAGAGAGGGGAAUCCGUCGCCAUCGUCAUCGUCAACCAUCCUCCAUCACCAAUUUCAUGAUGCUCACCGCCGUGCGUGAGUAAUUCCAUCGUAGGCUUGCUGGACAAUGAUGGGUUGGAUGAGAUUUAUCAUGUAAUCGAGUUAGUUUUGUUAGGGUUUGAUCCCUAGUAUCCACUAUGUUCUGAGAUUGAUGUUGCUAUGACUUUGCUAUGCUUAAUGCUUGUCACUAGGGCCCGAGUGCCAUGAUUUCAGAUCUGAACCUAUUAUGUUUUCAUGAAUAUAUCUGAGUUCUUGAUCCUAUCUUGCAAGUCUAUAGUCACCUACUAUGUGUUAUGAUCCGGCAACCCCGAAGUGACAAUAAUCGGGACCACUCCUAGUGAUGACCGGAGUUUGAGGAGUUCAUGUAUUCACUAUGUGUUAAUGCUUUGGUCUGGUACUCUAUUAAAAGGAGGCCUUAAUAUCCCUUAGUUUCUGUUAGGACCCCGCUGCCACGGGAGGGUAGGACAAAAGAUGUCAUGCAAGUUAUUUUCCAUAAGCACAUAUGACUAUAUUCGGAAUACAUGCCUACAUUACAUUGACGAAUUGGAGCUAGUUCUGUGUCACCCUAUGUUAUGACUGUUACAUGAUGAACCGCAUCCGGCAUAAUUCUCCAUCACCGAUCCAAUGCCUACGAGCUUUUCACAUAUUAUUCUCCGCUUAUUUACUUUUCCGUUGCUACUGUUACAAUCACUACAAAACCCAAAAAUAUUACUUUUGCUAUCGUUACCGUUACUUCCAUACUACUUUGCUACUAAAUACUUUGCUGCAGAUAUUAAGUUAUCCAGGUGUGGCUGAAUUGACAACUCAGUUGCUAAUACUUGAGAAUAUUCUUUGGCUCCCCUUGUGUCGAAUCAAUAAAUUUGGGUUGAAUACUCUACCCUCGAAAACUGUUGCGAUCCCCUAUACUUGUGGGUUAUCAAGACUAUUUUCUGGCGCCGUUGCCGGGGAGCAUAGCUCUAUUCUUUGAGUCACUUGGGAUUUAUAUCUGCUGGUCACUAUGAGGAACUUGAAAGACGAGAAAACAAAAAUUUAUCCCUCAACUACGAGGGGAGGUAAGGAACUGCCAUCUAGCUUUGCACUUGAUUCACCUUCUGUUUUGAGUAAGCUUGCGACAUCCAAACCUGCUUCUGAUAUUAAUUCUGAUAUGUCGCAUGUUAUUGAUGAUGCCACUUCUGCUAUGCAUGAUACUUAUGAUGAAACUACUUCUAUGCUUGAUACUACUGUGCCACUUGGUGAAUUUCUUGAUGAACAACUUGCUAGGGCUAGAGAAAAUGAAAUUAUUGAAACAGAAAAUAUUGAUGAAAGUGAUGAUGAAGGCUCUCGCAAUAAAUAUGAAUUGCCUGUUGUGCCUGAGGGCUAUGUUAUGGAUGAAGAAACUGCUAGAGACUUUCUUGCUUGCAAUGAUAGGAGUGAUCUUAAGAAAUUAUUAGCUAAGCUUAAACAAAAAACUCUGAAUGCUAGAAUGAAAUAUGAUCCUGCUUAUGCUACUUCACCUAUCGUUGUUACUGAUAAGGAUUAUGAAUUCUCUGUUGAUCCUGAUAUAAUUACUUUGGUUGAAUCUGAUCCUUUCUAUGGCUAUGAAUCCGAAACUGUUGUGGCACAUCUUACUAAAUUAAAUGAUAUAGCCACCCUGUUCACUAAUGAUGAGAGAACUCGCUACUUUUAUAUCCUUAAAAUAUUUCCGUUCUCAUUAAAGGGUGAUGCUAAGAUAUGGUUUAAUUCUCUUGAUCCUGGUUGUGUGCGUAGUCCCCAGGAUAUGAUUUAUUACUUCUCUGCUAAAUAUUUCCCCGCUCAUAAGAAACAAGCUGCUUUAAGGGAAAUAUAUAAUUUUGUGCAAAUUGAAGAAGAGAGUCUCCCACAAGCUUGGGGGAGGCUUCUCCAAUUACUUAAUGCUUUGCCUGAUCAUCCUCUUAAGAAAAAUGAAAUACUUGAUAUCUUCUAUAAUGGACUAACCGAUGCUUCUAGAGACCACCUGGAUAGUUGUGCGGGUUCUGUUUGCAGGGAAAGAACACCAGAUGAAGCUGAAAUCCUAUUGAAUAAUAUGUUGACCAAUGAAAAUAAUUGGACACUUUCCGAACCAGCUCCUAAACCAACUCCGAAGAAAAGGGGUGUUCUAUUUCUCAGUCCUGAAGAUAUGCAAGAGGCAAAGAAAUCUAUAAAGGAAAAAGGUAUAAAAGCUGAAGAUGUUAAGAAUUUACCUCCUAUUGAAGAAAUACAUGGUCUUAAUUUAUCGCCUGUUGAAGAAAUAUAUGAUCUUAAUUCAUCUCCUAUUGAAGAAACUCAUGGUCUUGAUAACCCGACACAGGUAGUAAAGGUAAAUUCUCUCUAUAGAUAUGAUAAAGCUGAAAUUCCUCCUACUAAGUUUGGUUAAGCAAGAAGAUUUGAAUGCUUAUUUUGGUAGACAAUUAAAACAAAAUGCUUAUAUGAUUGAACACUUGGGUGAUUAUAUGUCUAGAGUUAAAGGUGAACUUAAACUCAUUAGUAAACAUGCUUCUAUGGUUACCACUCAAGUAGAACAAGUACUUAAAGCUCAAAAUGAUUUGCUCAAUGAAUUGAAUAAUAAGAAUAAUGAUUUUGCUGUUAGAGUGGCUACUAGAACUGGUAAAAUGACUCAGGAAACUUUGUAUCCUGAAGGCCAUCCUAAGAGAAUUGAGCAGGAUUCUCAGAGAAAUAAUACUGAUGCACCUAGUCCUUCUAAGAAGAAGAAAAAGAAAAGUGAUAGGACUUUGCAUGCUUCUAAUGAACCUGUUGUUGACACACCUGAGAAUCCCAAUGAUAUUUCUAUUUCUGAUGCUGAAACACAAUCUGGUAAUGAACAUGAACCUAGUGAUAAUGUUAAUGAUGAUGUUCAUGUUGAUGCUCAACCUAGCAAAGAUAAUGAUAUAGAAAUUGAACCUGCCGUUGAUCUUGAUAACCCACAAUCAAAGAAUCAACGUUAUGAUAAGAGAGGCUUUGUCGCUAGGAAGCACGGUAAAGAAAGAGAGCCAUGGGUUCAGAAACCCAUGCCUUUUCCUCCCAAACCAUCCAAGAAAAAGGAUGAUGAGGAUUUUGAGCGCUUUGCUAAAAUGAUUAGACCUAUAUUUUUGCGUAUGCGAUUAACUGAUAUGCUCAAAAUGAAUCCUUAUGCUAAGUAUAUGAAAGAAAUUCUUACUAAUAAAAGAAAGAUACCGCAAGCUGAAAUUUCCACCAUGCUUGCUAAUUAUACUUUUAAGGGUGGAAUACCAAAGAAACUUGGAGAUCCAGGAGUACCAACUAUACCAUGCUCCAUUAAAAGAAAUUAUGUUAAAACUGCUUUAUGUGAUCUUGGAGCCGGUGUUAGUGUUAUGCCUCUCUCUUUAUAUUGUAGACUUGAUUUGAAUAAGUUGACACCUACUAAAAUAUCCUUGCAAAUGGCUGAUAAAUCAACUGCUAUACCUGUCGGUAUUUGUGAGGAUGUGCCUGUUGUGGUUGCAAAUGUUACUAUUUUAACGGACUUUGUUAUUCUUGAUAUUCCCGAGGACAAUAGUAUGUCUAUUAUUCUUGGAAGACCCUUUUUGAAUACUGUAGGGGCUGUUAUUGAUUGCAAUAAAGGCAAUGCCACUUUUCAUGUUAAUGGUAAUGAGCAUACGGUACACUUUCCGAGGAAACAACCUCAAGUCCACAGUAUCAAUUCUAUUGGAAAAAUUCCAUCGAUUAUUUUUGGAGGUUUUGCAUUUCCUCUUCCUACUAUCAAGAAGAAAUAUGAUAUUCUUAUUAUUGGGGACGUGCAUAUCCCCAUUGAGGUAACUUAGUGCUAUUCGAAAUUUCUCCGGUUCCAUGUUAUUUGGAAUGAGUUUGUUAACAGGACUUGAUCAACCUUGUUAGUGGAUUCCUUUUGAUGAGCAUGAGAUGGUUGAAGUUAGAAAGCACAACCUUCUGUACCCUCCUUUUACUUUCUGUUAUUUAGUUGAAAUAAAGUAAAAAUAGUAUUUUCUGUCAGUUUUCUGAAUUAUCCGUGCAAUAAAAAAUACCUUGAAAAUAAAAGUUCUCCAAAUGCCCCGAAAUUGAAAUAUGAUUUUUUCUGGAAUAUUUGAGAAUAUCUGGCACUGAGAACACAGCAGGGGGAGCAAGCACCUGGCCACGAGGGUCCAGGGCGCGCCCCUGCCUCGUGGGCCCAUGGUGGCUCCCCUCCACUUAUUCCUGCACCCACACACUUCUUCUUCCUCCCAAAAAAAUCACCAUCCAGCUCAAGCACGAGUUCUAGCUCAUUUUGCUGCGAUUUUUGAUCUCCUUGCUCGAAGCACCUCUCACAAAACUGCUUUGGGGGAUUGUUCCUUGGUAUGUGACUGCUCCAUUGGUCCAAUUAGUUUUUGUUCUAGUGCUUUAUUCAUUGCAAAUUUGCGCUGCCUAGGUGACCAUGUUCUUGAGCUUGCAUGUCAAAUUUAUAUGGUUCCAAGUAGUUCUAAUGCAUGAUAUAGGUCCUAGGCACUUGUAGGAGUAGUUGCUAUCAAUUUUAUUGAGUUUGGUUCACUUUUAUUUGAAGUUACGAAAAAUUUCAGAAAUUUUGCAGAGGAAGAAAUAUGUUUAGGAAAAUGUACCAAGGUGAUCCUUCAAGGAAGCAAGGACCCAGGCUUGCAAUGCGUGAUGCUGAUGAUGAACCACCAAGGGACGCCCCAGUGCGGCCUUGUGAAGCCUUCAGAGGACUUCAUGGAUCAAGCAGGAAUUAAGGAAGAAUUUAACGCAUAUUUGCGUAACGCUGAUCUUGUGAGCUUCGAGGCAGAAAAGUGCCGUCAGUACCACUAUCUCACUAGUUCCUUUGUGAGGAGGCAAAAGGGAGAUAUUUUAUAACCAGAGAGGAGGCGGAAGAGUAUAAGAGGAGGGCUGAGAUAGCUCACCUCCAAGCUGCAGCCCACGAUGCAAUGACUGCUGCAUCUCAGUACGACCCCAGCUACGACUUUGGAUACCCGCCAGGCCAUGCGUGGCAAUAAACCAACUUAGGCCAAAAGCCUAAGCUUGGGGGAGUACGUAUUUCUCACCGACAUUACAUUCAUGUUCACACACUCGUUGCUAGAUGUCGGUGCUCAUACUCUUUCACUGUAAUAUCCAUGCUAGUUUAUUUUUCUUUUUAUGCUUUCUUCUUGUGUGUUUGAAAAAUCUUAAGAAAACCAAAAAAAAUUUAGUUGUAGCUUUUAGUUAGUUUACCUUUUGUGACGCCCUCGAUUCAAUCGUACACUAAUCAUACACGCAAAUAUGUACGAUCAAGAUCAAGGACUCACGGGAAGAUAUCACAACACAACUCUAGACACAAAUUAAAAUAAUGCAAGCUUUAUGUUACAAGCCAGGGGCCUCGAGGGCUCGAAUACAUAAGCUCGAAUACACCAGAGUCAGCGAAAGCAACAAUAUCUGAGUACAGACAUAAGUUAGACAAGAUUGCCUUAAGAAGGCUAGCACAAAAGCAACAUCGAUCGAAAAGGCAAGGCCUCCUGCCUGGGAGCCUCCUAACUACUCCUGGUCGUCGGCGGCCUCCACGUAGAAGUAAGCAUCGGCGGUGCCAUCUGGCUCCUAGGCUCCGACAUCUGGUUGCAUCAACCGGAAAGAAGAAGAAAGGGGGAGCAAAGCAACCAUGAGUACUCAUCCAAAGUACUCGCAAGCAAGGAUCUACACUACAUAUGCAACAUUAUCAAAGGAAGGCUGUAUAUGUGGACUGGGCUGCAGAAAUGCCAGAAUAGAGGGGAGAAGCUAGUCCUAUCGAAGACUAGCCUCUUCUGAAAACCACCAUAUUGCAGCAACAGGAGGGAGUAGAGUAGCAUAAAGUAAAGUAAUAGAAGUGUUAUCAACCUCGGCCAGAGAUCCUUUCUCGACUCCCUGUGAGAAAGCAAUCCCAGAGCCAUACUAUCCAUUUCUCAUAUCCAUGACUCAUCUCAAGUAUCCAGUUCUAGUUGUAUCGAUCGGGAUACAACUCCAAGUGUCCGUUACCGUAGGACAGGCUAUCGAUAGAUGUUUUCUUCCCUGCAGGGGUGCACCAACUUACCCACCACGCUCGCUUAACUCCGGCCGGACACACUUUCCUGGGUCAUGCCCAGCCUCGGCCAAACAAUACGCCGCAACCCGACCUAGGCUUAAUAGAGAGGUCAGCACGCCGGACUAAACCUAUGCCCCCAAGGGUCAUGGGCCAUCUCCUCGGGAACUCCUGCACGUUGCGAGGGUGGUCGGUGAGCAGACCUAGCUACCUCCUUCAACAAGGCAGGUGCUUACGCAGUCCAACCCGGCGCGCGCCGCUCAGUCGCUGACGUCUAUUAAGCUUCGGCUGAUGCAUACGACGCAGAACGCCCAUACUAUGCCCACGUGAUGGUUAGUGCUAUCAGGCCAGAGGCCCCUCGGAUCAAAUAUCCAAAUCGUAGUGGAUUAGGAACGCGCGGUAACAAGAAGAGACUCACGAAAGAUGUGACCCCGUUGCCCCGUCUCGAGUACUUGCGGCAAGGGCUAGGAAUGCCCGGCCACGCCACGUAAUUAUCUCGCGGGCACCCUCCAGGUCGACCCAUCUCCACAUCACUCGCAAUCAAGCUCGCGCGGGUACCCCUCAGGGCUGACCCGUCUUUAGUAAAUGGUUCAGUGUAAAGUCAUAGUAACCAUAGUAAUUGUGUGUCCAAACAUCAAGGGGAAAACCCGAGGAAUCACCCUCGGUGAAUUCCACUCGAUGUAAUCAUCAAGGUGAAUGUAAGAGGAAUCACCCCCGAGGUUCACACUUGAGGGGUUGCACGACAGAGUCGUAUCGGAAGUGGUUAAGGAGGAAAUCACCCUCGAUGACCACGACCGAAUAGCUACACUACAGAGUUAACAUCAGAAGUGCUAAAGAGGCCUCACCCUCGGCACUCGAUAGUAACCCAGUAGUGUCGAGCAACUAAGGGGAAAGUGAUGUGCGGUGCCGGGGCCUGGUCUUCGAUCCCGUUGAUCGGGUCUUCGAUGAUGAAGCAGUGGCAACAAGGACAAGGUGGGGGUCACUGAUGGAUCACUAACCAACCUAUACUAAGCAGUUUAGGAUAAGCAGGUAAGGUACAACAGCAGAUACAAAAGCAGGCUAUGCAUCAGAAUAGGAGCAAUCAAUUACAGUAGCAAAAUCUAAUGCAAGCAUGAGAGAAUGGAAUGGGCGAUAUCGGGAUGAUCAAAGGGGGGCUUGCCUGGUUGCUCUGGCAACGAGGGGUCGUCGGUGACGUAGUCGAUCACAGGAGCGAUAUCGGUCUCGGGGUCUAUCGGAGAGAAGAGGGGGAAGAAACAAUAAAUAUAAAGCAAGCAUAACAUCACAAAGCAUAACAUGGCAAUAUGCUGUGCCGGGUGUGACCUAACGUAUGGCUACACGAUAAAGGUGAAGGGGAAUUCAACCGGGAAGGUAUUCCCGGUUCCGGACCUGUGUCAGACAAGUGACCGGAGGGGGAAAAGUUCAAUGUUUGCUAUGCUAGGGACGUGUGGCAGGCAAACGGACCGCGUGUUCAGAUUCGUCUCGUCGUUCUGAGCAACUUUCAUGUAGAAAACAUUUUCAUCCGAGCUACGAUUUAUUUUAUAUGAUUUUCAAAGAAUUUAAACAAUUUUCUAGAAUUAUCUUAAUUAUUUAAAACAACAUUAUCCAGAACAGUGCGGCGGUGAUGUCAGCAUAAUGUCAAGAUGAAGUCAGCAGGUCAACUAACCGGUUGGCCAGGUCAAACCUGACAUGUGGGGUCACCGGGACCCACAUGUCAGCCUCUGUUAGUACUAAACGGAGUUAAAACUAAUCUAACUACUUAAUUAGAUGGUGGGCCCUACUAGUCAGUGGUUAAUUAGUGUUUUAAUUAGCUAAUUAACUAAUUAACCUAUUUUCUUUUUAAAUAAAUUUUGUUUAUUUAGGCGGGACCCACGUGUCAUAGACACAGGGCCUGCCCAAUCAGCGUUGACGCUUGUUAAAUGGUCAACUGGGGCCCCGGGGCCUGCAGGCAGCGGGGACCACGGUGCCAGGUCAGCGGCGCCACCGGAGUUGCUCCGGUGGGCCUGCGUGCGGCGGCUGAACGCCGGCGAGCGUCGGAAUCACGCUGUAGUGCCCCGUUUUGCGUGUUCUUGGUCGCGCUCGAGCGGGCAGAACGCGCCGCGUCGAUCUGUGGCAUCGGUUGGUGCGGGGGCAACCGGAAUCGUGGAUGGCGACAUGGUCCGCGGUGGCGAGUUUUCGGGCGACGAUGCAAACGGCGAUGCAGCCCGCAGUAGUUCAAUCUAAAGCUUCGGGCGUGCUCUACGCACGCGCGAGGACAACGGACACAUGCCCUUGACCAAAAGGUCACCGGAGACGCGCCGGUGACCAAACGAGGCGGCGGUGGUUCGGGCUUCGUCGGGGUAGUGGCUAUAGAGAGGGCAGGGGACGGCGCGUUCGGUGCAGGAGCUCACCGCGGGAGCGUGGGGUCUAGGCAGAGGGCUCAGGGAGGUCCGGUGAAGCAGAUCGGCCGCGAGGUCGUGUGGUGGCCGUCGAGGAGGAAGACGAAGGGGAUCCGGCGCUGGCGUGGCUCCAGCCUUGAGGUCGUUGGUGCAGACGAAGUAGAAGACGGUCGUGGGGCUCGUGGACACAUCGGGGCGGCGAGGAGGGCACGGUGGCCGCGGUGGCGCAGCAACGCGGCGACGACAGUGCGUCGGGGCGAGGUGGAUCUGCAGAAGGGGGCGAGGGAGAGCCAGGGGGACGGAGUAGCGGGAGUGGCGGUAGGUGAGGGGGAGGACUCGAGGCGUCCGGGGCCUUAUCCUCUCGUCGGGCGUCGCCGGCGAGGUGGUUGGACGGCGACGGGCGCGCUCUGUCCUGCUCGGUCGGAGGAACAGAAGGCAACCGGUGAGGGGGAGUGGGCCGGCCUGCUGGGAUGGGCCGAGGCCCAAGGGAAGGCCAGGGGCUUCUCUCUCUCCUCUGCCUUUUUCCUUUUCUUUUUUCCUUUUUGUUUCUUUUAUUUGCUCUAUUUUGCAUUUUUCUUUCAGUACCAAAAUGAGUUUUGUUUUGAACGAAACUUGGCACAUAAAACUAACAUAAAACCUUGAGAUGGAACAAAAAGUUUGGGGUCAAAAGGAAUUGCCUAAACAAUUUUAGAAAUUGAAAAGUCCAAUUUAAAUGCUGCUGGAGCACCAAAUUAAUUCCCAUGGGCAUUUUGGGAAUUCAGAAGAGGUUGGUUCAACAUGACAGUGAUCAGGGAAAUUUAUAGGAUAAGGUGAACAUUUUAGUUUUACUGCCCAAAGAAAUAAUUUAUUUAACUUAUUUUGUUACUUGAAAAGGCUUUGAUUUUUGGACAAGUGGCAAGCUACAUAGUAAUCACGAUGACAUGGCCACCAUUAGGGGGAGAUUACUGUAGCAUGAUUCUCGGGGUGUUACAAAUCUCCUCCACUACAAAAAAAAAA